UACGUAGGGCGCAAGCGUUGUCCGGAAUUAUUGGGCGUAAAGAGCUCGUAGGCGGUUUGUCGCGUCUGUCGUGAAAGCUUGGGGCUUAACCCCAAGUCUGCGGUGGAUACGGGCAGACUAGAGGCAGGUAGGGGAGAACGAAAUUCCCGGUGUAGCGGUGAAAUGCGCAGAUAUCGGGAGGAACACCGGUGGCGAAGGCGGUUCUCUGGGCCUGUACUGACGCUGAGGAGCGAAAGCGUGGGGAGCGAACAGG
rnacentral:rRNA from 1 species